rnacentral:rRNA from 1 species
CCUACGGGAGGCAGCAGUGGGGAAUUUUGCGCAAUGGGCGAAAGCCUGACGCAGCAACGCCGCGUGGAGGAUGAAGGCCUUCGGGUCGUAAACUCCUGUCAGUGGGGACGAAAGCUUCGCAAGAGGUCUGACUGUACCCGCUGAGGAAGCCACGGCUAACUCCGUGCCAGCAGCCGCGGUAAUACGGAGGUGGCAAGCGUUGUUCGGAAUUACUGGGCGUAAAGGGCGCGUAGGCGGCUUGGCAAGUCAGAUGUGAAAGCCCCGGGCUUAACUCGGGAAU